rnacentral:rRNA from 1 species
UGCGCAGGCGGAACUUUAAGUCAGUGGUGAAAUCUUGCCGCUUAACGGUAAAAUUGCCAUUGAUACUGAAGUUCUUGAAUAUGGUUGAGGUAGGCGGAAUGUGUUGUGUAGCGGUGAAAUGCAUAGAUAUGACACAGAACUCCGAUUGCGAAGGCAGCUUACUAAACCAUUAUUGACGCUGAGGCACGAAAGCGUGGGGAGCGAACAGGAUAAGAUACCCUGGUAGUCC